AGAAUCGACGCUGGCGGCGUGCCUAACACAUGCAAGUCGAACGAGAAAGUGGAGCAAUCCAUGAGUAAAGUGGCGACCGGGUGAGUAACACGUGACUAACCUACCUUCGAGUGGGGGAUAACCUCGGGAAACCGAGGCUAAUACCGCAUAACAUCGCAAGAUCAAAGCAGCAAUGCGCUGGAAGAGGGGGUCGCGGCUGAUUAGCUAGUUGGCGGGUAAUGGCCCACCAAGACUAUGAUCGGUA
rnacentral:rRNA from 1 species